rfam:Streptomyces sp. WM6386 contig17.1, whole genome shotgun sequence.
AGGGAAACGCCCGGUUACAUUCCGAACCCGGAAGCUAAGCCUUACAGCGCCGAUGGUACUGCAGGGGGGACCCUGUGGGAGAGUAGGACACCGCCGAAC